AAUCAAGUGCCUUAAGGGUGUUCGGUGGAUGCCUUGGCGCUGAGAGGCGAUGAAGGACGUGCUACGCUGCGAUAAGCCGUGGGGAGCUGCGAAGAAGCUUUGAUCCGCGGAUUUCCGAAUGGGGAAACCCACCUUCGAUAGCCGGAACUCCAAGACCUUGGUUUUGGGGUUCGAUUGGGAGACCGAGAGACUUCAAGAUCAUGACGAUGCAAGUCGUCGAGGUUUUGGAUUUCCGGUUAUCAAGAGAAGGUAUGAGACUUCUGAAUACAUGGGAGGUUUCAAGCGAACCCAGGGAACUGAAACAUCUAAGUACCUGGAGGAAAGGACAUCAACCGAGACUCCGCUAGUAGUGGCGAGCGAACGCGGACCAGGCCAGUCAUGAAUGUAAGCCAACCAGAACCUGUCAGGAAAGCAGGGCCUCAGAGGGUGAUAGCCCCGUAUGGGUAAUGCGAACAUUCAUGCUCGAGUAAGGCGGGACACGUGCAAUCCUGUCUGAACAUGGGGGGACCACCCUCCAAGCCUAAGUACUCCUCAGCGACCGAUAGUGAACCAGUACCGUGAGGGAAAGGUGAAAAGCACCCCGACGAGGGGAGUGAAAUAGACCUGAAACCGGACACCUACAAACAGACGGAGCCCAAGAUGCGUUCUGGGUGACGUCGUACCUUUUGUAUUAUGGGCCAGCGACUUAAUUUAACGAGCAAGCUUAAGCCGAUAGGCAUAGGCGUAGCGAAAGCGAGUCUGAAUAGGGCGUCAAGUUCGUUGUAUUAGACCCGAAACCUAGUGAUCUAGCCAUGAGCAGGUUGAAGGUGAGGUAACACUCACUGGAGGACCGAACGGGUGCCUGUUGAAAAAGGCUCCGAUGACUUGUGGUUAGGGGUGAAAGGCCAAUCAAACUGGGAAAUAGCUGGUUCUCCGCGAAAGAUAUUUAGGUAUCGCCUCGGACGAAUACCUCAGGGGGUAGAGCACUGGAUGGGCUAGGGGGACUUACCGUCUUACCAAACCCAACCAAACUCCGAAUACCUGAGAGUACUAUCCGGGAGUCACACGGCGGGUGCUAACGUCCGUCGUGGAGAGGGAAACAACCCUGACCUACAGCUAAGGCCCCCAAUUCGUGGCUAAGUGGGAAAGGAUGUGGAAAUCCCAAAACAACCAGGAGGUUGGCUUAGAAGCAGCCAUCCUUUAAAGAAAGCGUAACAGCUCACUGGUCUAAAUAAGGGUUUCUGCGCCGAAGAUGUAACGGGGCUCAAGCCACGAGCCGAAGCUUAGGGUGCAUCGCAAGAUGCGCGGUAGCGGAGCGUUCUGUAAGCCUGCGAAGGGCG
rnacentral:rRNA from 1 species